rnacentral:rRNA from 1 species
UGCUCCUGGUGGCGAGUGGCGAACGGGUGAGUAAUGCGUCGGAACGUACCGAGUAAUGGGGGAUAACGCAGCGAAAGCUGUGCUAAUACCGCAUACGCCCUGAGGGGGAAAGUGGGGGAUCGCAAGACCUCACGUUAUUCGAGCGGCCGACGUCUGAUUAGCUAGUUGGUGGGGUAAUGGCCUACCAAGGCGACGAUCAGUAGCGGGUCUGAGAGGAUGAUCCGCCACACUGGAACUGAGACACGGUCCAGACUCCUACGGGAGGCAGCAGUGGGGAAUUUUGGACAAUGGGGGCAACCCUGAUCCAGCCAUUCCGCGUGAGUGAAGAAGGCCUUCGGGUUGUAAAGCUCUUUCAGCUGGAACGAAACGGUGCGCUCUAACAUAGCGUGCUAAUGACGGUACCAGCAGAAGAAGCACCGGCUAACUACGUGCCAGCAGCCGCGGUAAUACGUAGGGUGCGAGCGUUAAUCGGAAUUACUGGGCGUAAAGCGUGCGCAGGCGGAUUGUUAAGCAAAGAUGUGAAAUCCCCGGGCUUAACCUGGGAAUGGCAUUUUGAACUGGCAGUCUAGAGUGCGUCAGAGGGGGGUGGAAUUUCCACGUGUAGCAGUGAAAUGCGUAGAGAUGUGGAGGAACACCAAUGGCGAAUGCAGCCCCCUGGGAUGACACUGACGCUCAUGUACGAAAGCGUGGGGUAGCAAACAGGAUUAGAUACCCUUGUAGUCCACGCCCUAAACGAUGUCAACUGGUUUGUUGG